GUCCCUGUAGAGCAGUGGAUUGCGUGUUGGACAUUUAAUCCAAAGGUCCUGGGUUCGAAUCCCGGCAGGGAUG
rnacentral:tRNA from 13 species